rnacentral:rRNA from 1 species
GAUGAACGCUGGCGGCGUGCCUAACACAUGCAAGUCGAGCGAUUCUCUUCGGAGAAGAGCGGCGGACGGGUGAGUAACGCGUGGGUAACCUGCCCUGUACACACGGAUAACAUACCGAAAGGUAUGCUAAUACGGGAUAACAUAAGAAAUUCGCAUGUUUUUCUUAUCAAAGCUCCGGCGGUACAGGAUGGACCCGCGUCUGAUUAGCUAGUUGGUGAGGUAACGGCUCACCAAGGCGACGAUCAGUAGCCGACCUGAGAGGGUGAUCGGCCACAUUGGAACUGAGACACGGUCCAAACUCCUACGGGAGGCAGCAGCGGGGAAUAUUGCACAAUGGGCGAAAGCCUGAUGCAGCAACGCCGCGUGAGCGAUGAAGGCCUUCGGGUCGUAAAGCUCUGUCCUCAAGGAAGAUAAUGACGGUACUUGAGGAGGAAGCCCCGGCUAACUACGUGCCAGCAGCCGCGGUAAUACGUAGGGGGCUAGCGUUAUCCGGAUUUACUGGGCGUAAAGGGUGCGUAGGCGGUCUUUUAAGUCAGGAGUGAAAGGCUACGGCUCAACCGUAGUAAGCUCUUGAAACUGGAGGACUUGAGUGCAGGAGAGGAGAGUGGAAUUCCUAGUGUAGCGG